rnacentral:rRNA from 1 species
CAACCCAUGUGAACCAUACCAAACUGUUGCCUCGGCGGGGUCACGCCCCGGGUGCGUCGCAGCCCCGGAACCAGGCGCCCGCCGGAGGGACCAACCAAACUCUUUUCUGUAGUCCCCUCGCGGACGUUAUUUCUUACAGCUCUGAGCAAAAAUUCAAAAUGAAUCAAAACUUUCAACAACGGAUCUCUUGGUUCUGGCAUCGAUGAAGAACGCAGCGAAAUGCGAUAAGUAAUGUGAAUUGCAGAAUUCAGUGAAUCAUCGAAUCUUUGAACGCACAUUGCGCCCGCCAGUAUUCUGGCGGGCAUGCCUGUCCGAGCGUCAUUUCAACCCUCGAACCCCUCCGGGGGGUCGGCGUUGGGGACCUCGGGAGCCCCUAAGACGGGAUCCCGGCCCCGAAAUACAGUGGCGGUCUCGCCGCAGCCUCUCCUGCGCAGUAGUUUGCACAACUCGCACCGGGAGCGCGGCGCGUCCACGUCCGUAAAACACCCAACUUCUGAAAUGUUGACCUCGGAUCAGGUAGGAAUACCCGCUGAACUUAAGCAUAUCAAUAAGCGA